GAGUUAGCGGUGCUUAUUCUGCGAGUACGUCACUAUCUCUAGGUAUUAACUAAAGUAGCCUCCUCCUCGCUUAAAGUGCUUUACAACCAUAAGGCCUUCUUCACACACGCGGCAUGGCUGGAUCAGGGUUCCCCCCAUUGUCCAAUAUUCCCCACUGCUGCCUCCCGUAGGAGUCUGGGCCGUGUCUCAGUCCCAGUGUGGCGGAUCAUCCUCUCAGACCCGCUACAGAUCGUCGCCUUGGUAGGCCUUUACCCCACCAACUAGCUAAUCCGACUUAGGCUCAUCUAUUAGCGCAAGGUCCGAAGAUCCCCUGCUUUCUCCCGUAGGACGUAUGCGGUAUUAGCAUCCCUUUCNGAGAUGUUGUCCCCCACUAAUAGGCAGAUUCCUAAGCAUUACUCACCCGUCCGCCGCUAGGUCCAGUAGCAAGCUACCUUCCCCCGCUCGACUUGCAUGUGUUAAGCCUGCCGCCAGCGUUCAAUCUGAGCCAGGAU
rnacentral:rRNA from 1 species